rnacentral:rRNA from 1 species
AGUGAACGCUGGCGGUAGGCCUAACACAUGCAAGUCGAACGGCAGCACAGGAGAGCUUGCUCUCUGGGUGGCGAGUGGCGGACGGGUGAGGAAUACAUCGGAAUCUACUUUUUCGUGGGGGAUAACGUAGGGAAACUUACGCUAAUACCGCAUACGACCUACGGGUGAAAGCAGGGGAUCUUCGGACCUUGCGCGAUUGAAUGAGCCGAUGUCGGAUUAGCUAGUUGGCGGGGUAAAGGCCCACCAAGGCGACGAUCCGUAGCUGGUCUGAGGGGAUGAUCAGCCACACUGGAACUGAGACACGGUCCAGACCCCUACGGGAGGCAGCAGUGGGGAAUAUUGGACAAUGGGCGCAAGACUGAUCCAGCCAUACCGCGUGGGUGAAGAAGGCCUUCGGGUUGUAAAGCGCUUUUGUUGGUAAAGAAAUCCAGUUGGUUAAUACCCGGUUGGGAUGACGGUACCCAAAGAAUAAGCACCGGCUAACUUCGUGCCAGCAGCCGCCGUAA